UACGUAGGGUGCGAGCGUUAAUCGGAAUUACUGGGCGUAAAGCGUGCGCAGGCGGCUUUGCAAGACAGAUGUGAAAUCCCCGGGCUUAACCUGGGAACUGCAUUUGUGACUGCAUGGCUGGAGUGCGGCAGAGGGGGAUGGAAUUCCGCGUGUAGCAGUGAAAUGCGUAGAUAUGGCGGAGGAACGCCGAUGGCGAAGGCAAUCCCCUGGGCCUGCACUGACGCUCAUGCACGAAAGCGUGGGGAGCAAACAGG
rnacentral:rRNA from 1 species